CGCCUUUUAUUAGGUAGUGUGUGUACCAACGGAUUACACUUGUCUGAUGUGAAGGAAGAUACGCAUCAUCAAAUUUGUUCUACACCAAAUGAAAAAAAUAAUUCAGGUUUGCUACUAAAGCAUUAUGAUAAAAAAAAAAAUAAAAUAAAAUAAAAUAAUGACGAAUUUAAACGCAUAUUAAACAUGAGUGGGUUUUUAAUAUACAUAUAUAUGUACAUGUACGUGUUUGCGUGUCUAUUUUUAGGCUUGUGCUUUGCAGCGUUUGAUAAAAGACCAGAGAAAAUUUGCGUAACUUUUAGCAACGGUGAUGUCUGUUUGCUUUCUGAUCAAAAAGUAGUUAAAUUUUGGCGGGCGCAUGAAUACCAUGUAUGGAGCUGUGCAUUUGCUGGGAAUGAAAAUACGAUAAUAACAGGAUCAGAUGAUUGUUCUCUUAUUAUGUGGGAUAUGAGAACUAAUGAUGUAUGCCAAAAAAAUGCAAGAUCACAUUCACAAGGAGUUACAGACGUUAAGUUUGAAGAAUUGGGUCAGUUGCUUUAUACAUCAUGUUAUGACAAUAUGAUUCGUGUUUUUGAUAUUCGAAAUUUUCAAAAGCCUGUUAGAACGUUGGACGUGGAGUCGAGUAUAUGGAGAAUAAAGUUUUUAUAUAAAAAUGACACAAUGAAAAAGCUGUUAGUAGCAGCGUGCGAUGGAGGGGCAAAGAUUUUUAAAAAAAUAAACAAUGAUUUUAUCUUUGAAAAAGGUAUAUGUAAUAAUAAAGAAUUGACAUAUGGUAUUGACGUUAUAGAUGUUUUUGAUCGAGAGAAAAAAAAAAAAAAAAAAAUUUAUUUGUCUUGUUCUUUUUAUAAUAAAGAGGUGCAAAUGUGGGUUUAGCGGAUAUAUCAAAAAUAUUAACAGUAGGCAAUUUUUUUUAGCUAGUAAAAAUGGUACAAGUUUAAUAUGCAUAUGUGUACAUGUAUAUGCGCAUAUGGGUACAUGUAUAUAUGUGCAUAUACGUAUAAUGUAUAUAACAAAUUCAUUGCGUUUUUAUAAUAUGCUAACGAUAUUUUUGCAUAAUCAUGUCAGCAUAAGAAGGUAGGUACCUCCGUGAAAUUAUGUAACACAUUAUAUAUGAACAAAAAAAAAAAAAAAAAAAAAAAAAAAAUAAAGUAUUUAGAUAAACAAUAGGUCUAUUUUUU
rnacentral:lncRNA from 1 species